rnacentral:rRNA from 1 species
AACCAGCCAUAGCUCAUUAACUCAUUUCCACCAAAUUACUUACACAACUAAAAUAAAACAUUUUUAAAUAACUAAAGUAUAGGCGAUAGAAAUUUUACCUUGACGCUAUAGAGAUAGUACCGCAAGGGAAAACCUGAAAGAGAGACUAUAAGUAAAAAAUAGCAAAGCUUAGUCCUUGUACCUUUUGCAUAAUGAUUCAGCCAGUAAGUACUAGCAAAAAGACUUACAGUUAGAUCACCCGAAACCAGACGAGCUACCUGUCAGCAGCUAACAGAGCAAACUCAUCUAUGUGGCAAAAUAGUGAGACGACUGCCGGGUAGAGGCGACAAACCUAUCGGGCCUGGUGAUAGCUGGUUAUCCAGAGCAGAAUUUCAGUUCUAAUUUAAAUCUGCUAAACAAAUAAGAAAUUAUAAAGUAGAUUUAAGUAAUAAUCUAAAAGGGUACAGCUUUUUAGAUGAGGGAUACAACCCCUAUUAGAGAGUAAGUCAUAAUCAACCACAAUAGUUGGCCUAAAAGCAGCCAUCAACUAAGAAAGCGUUCAAGCUCAACAGUAUGAGUACUUAAUCCCACGGUAAAGACCAGACCUCCUAAUAUAAGACUGGAUCACUCUAUUUACAAAUAGAAGCAAUACUGCUGGUAUGAGUAACAAGAAAAUUUUCUCCCCGCAUGAGUGUAUAUCAGAACGAAUAAAUCACUGAUAAUUAUCAAAAUCAACACUAACUAUAUUACUUGAUCCCAAUAUUAAUUGUUAGUUCAACACAGAAAUGCAACACAGGGAAAGGUUAAAAGAGGUAAAAGGAACUCGGCAAACAAAAACCUCGCCUGUUUACCAAAAACAUCACCUCUAGCAUAAAAAGUAUUAGAGGCACUGCCUGCCCAGUGACCCUAGUUCAACGGCCGCGGUAUCCUGACCGUGCAAAGGUAGCAUAAUCACUUGUUCUCUAAAUAGGGACUUGUAUGAAUGGCCCCACGAGGGUUUCGCUGUCUCUUACCUCAAACCAGUGAAAUUGACAUUCCCGUGAAGAGGCGGGGAUAUAAUAAUAAGACGAGAAGACCCUAUGGAGCUUUAAUUCAACAACUCAUAUAAUUCUUUAUACUCCCCCUACUUUAAGGGACAAGCCUAUUUUAGCUGAGUUAAGAAUUUAGGUUGGGUGACCUCGGAGUACAAAUAAACUUCCGAGAAUAGUUCUACCAAGACUAACAAGUCAAAGUUAAAUUAUAUCAUACUGAUCCGUCAAUGACGAUCAACGAAACAAGUUACCCUAGGGAUAACAGCGCAAUCCUAUUCAAGAGUCCAUAUCGACAAUUAGGGUUUACGACCUCGAUGUUGGAUCAGGACAUCCCAAUGGUGCAGCAGCUAUUAAUGAGUUCGUUUGUUCAACGAUUAAAGUCCUACGUGAUCUGAGUUCAGACCGGAGUAAUCCAGGUCGGUUUCUAUCUAUUUUAUAGGUCCCUCCUAGUACGAAAGGACAAGAGAGACGGGGCCUACUUAAAAUAAGCGCCCUAGCAAUAAUAGAUGAAAUAAUCUUAAUCUUAGCAUACCCAUAGGUCAUUUAAGAAAAAAAAAUAA